rnacentral:lncRNA from 1 species
AUGGUUAACAUUUUAGUCCUUUUACGUAGGGACUUGAAUUUUGCUGUGGGAAUGCGAAAAACAUGGGAAGCUGCUUUCUGCCAAGCUAUUUCCUUAAGGAUCCACUUUACAUACUGCCAAAUCGAUGACCUGUCAGGUAUAGUUAUGUGGCAUAGCAAUGACAUGAGGUCAAUCAGAUGAAGCCAAGUUGUUCUGAAGUAAUCUGUUGAAUUUCUAUAUUGUAAGACCAGUGCUGAAUCAUUUCAACAACUGUAUUUUAUAUUUCAAAAACAUAUAAAAAAUGCAGUCCUUCAAAUAGGCCAAAACAGCGAUCUGGCUUUGCAGCGGAGUGCUGGGAAAAGAGCGCAAGGGUGGAAUGUAAGAUGACACCUAAUUCUUUAAUGGG